rnacentral:lncRNA from 1 species
CAACUCUUUGUGAGAGUUUGGAAGUUUCUUUCAGUGAAUUGUUCUUUUCCUUGACGUUGUGCAAAGGGCGGACACACAUUUGAUCUUAGUAUUCUUUUAUUAAUCUAUUUAAUUUGUAUUAAUGUUAUAAUAGGGUCAACAGUGAUGACCCACUUAUAGAUCUGGUAUUGGUAAUGUGUUUCUUCUGGUUUUCCCCCCUUUGGUUACACUUACUGUGUUAUGAAUUUUGUUGAUCUUUUCAAGGAAUUCUUAGGUUCUGUUGAUUUUCUUCUUCUCAGUUCCACUGAUUUCCAUUUUGACUCCUAAGAUCUCUGCUCUAUUCACACUUCCCAUCUCCUACCUUCCAGUGCCCCAGGGAAAGCCGAGGCCGUUCCUUUCCUCCCUUCUCUCCUGGGUACACAGAGCGAUCACUUCUAUACACUGCCUUUUCUUGACUCCAUUUUCUUAUUUAGCUAAAAGUAUAUUUUUUAAGUUUCUUAUAAGACUUCUUUUUGACUCAUAAAUCAUUUAGAUGUGUGUUGAUUAAUUUGCAAAUAAUGGGGACCAUGAAGCCACUGCCCUACUGGUCAUUUCUGGUUCCAUUGUGACAUAAGAACGCACUUUGUUUUAGAUCCGCCAAUGUGUGCUCUUGGCAUAGGGUGUGGUUUAUCAGGGCGGACGGUCCAGCUGAGCUUGAGACAUUUCAUUGUGCUGUCGUUAGGUCGAUGUCUAAGUCACAUUAGAUGGAGUAGGCUAGUAGUCUAUUUCGGUCACCUGUUUCCGUGUGGAUUUCAUUUACCUGAGCUCUCAUUUUCUGACAGAGAGGUGUUGAUCUUCCUAUACGAAGGUGCUUUGUCUUUUUUCCCUCCAGUUCUGAGUUUUUGCUCCCCACAU